rnacentral:rRNA from 1 species
UACGAAGGGGGCUAGCGUUGCUCGGAAUUACUGGGCGUAAAGCGCACGUAGGCGGUCUUUUAAGUCGGGGGUGAAAUCCUGGAGCUCAACUCCAGAACUGCCUUCGAUACUGGAAGACUCGAGUCCGGGAGAGGUGAGUGGAACUGCGAGUGUAGAGGUGAAAUUCGUAGAUAUUCGCAAGAACACCAGUGGCGAAGGCGGCUCACUGGCCCGGUACUGACGCUGAGGUGCGAAA